UGUAAGUUUGAUUCCUAGGUAUUUUAUUCUUUUGAAGCAAUUGUGAAUGGGAGUUCACUCAUGAUUUGGCUCUCUGUUUGUUAUUGGUGUAUACAAAUGUUUGUGAUGUUUGCACAUUGAUUUUUAUCCUGAGAUUUUGCUGAAUUUUGCUAUUUUAGUAGAGAUGGGGUUUGCUGAAUGCAGCCCCCAGUCACGUACUCCCUUCUUGGUCAAUCGAUCAUGACUCUCUCACGAUCACGACCCUCUCACACGGACCCUCUUAGGGUUGUGAGUCCUUAAAAGGGACAGGAAUUGCUCACUUGGGGAGCUGGGUUGUUAGAGACAAGUGCCACCACUCCCAGCUAAUUUUUGUAUUUUUAGUAGAGACGGGGUUUCCCCAUGUUGGUUGGCCAGGAUAGUCUCUAUCUCUUGACCUCGUGAUCCGCCCACCUCGGCCUCCCAUACUGUUGGGAUUACAGGUGUGAGCCACUCCACCCAGCCCAGAGAAGGCUUUUCAUACUUGCUUGUCAGCCUCCUGCAUCCUACUCCAGCACCUGGCACUCGCAACCUGUGGGCUGCUCUCAUCCGUGAUCAUCUCUCCCCAGGCCUGCUGUUCCUCGAGAAAGGAAGUUGUACUGGGCAGAUUUCUAGGACAGCCCCCCAAGAGAACGACUCCCUUAUAUCUGCUCCCUGUAUCAUCUCUUCUUGAGUGUGUGCAGAGCUUGUGAUUUGGCCAAGGGGAAGGAAUUUUGCAAAUGUGAUUAUGGUCACACUUGCUUUGUUAAGCACAUUUGCUCAGCUGACUUUGAGUUCAUCCAAAGCAGGAUGAUCUUAGGUGGGCCAGACCUAAUCAGGUGAGUCUUUUAAAGGUGAAGUUUCAGAGAUUCAACCCUUAGCCUCCAAGGAGACAUAAAUGGCCAUGCUGUGAACUGUCUUUGGAGGUGGCAGCUCUAGGAGCUGAGGGCCUUCAUUCAACAAUUGGAAGAAAUUGAAUUCAGUCCACAAACUGAAUAAGCUUGGAAGAGGACACUGAGCAUCUGAUGAGACCCCAGCUGACACUCUGCUUGCAGUAUUGUGACCCUGAAUAGAAGACCCAGUUAAACCCUGCCCAGACCCUUGGCUCAUGGAAACAGAUAAUAACUGGGUGGUGUUUUAAGCUGCUGAGUUUGCACUGGUAAAUCCACCAACAGGAAAGUAAUAUAGACGUUAAAUGGGCCAGGCAUGGUGGCUCAUGCCUGUAAUCCCAACACAUUGGGAGGCUAAGGUGGGUGCAUCACAAGGUCAGGAGAUCGAGACCAUCAUGGCCAACAUGGUAAAACCCCGUCUCUACUAAAAAUACAAAAAGUAGCCAGGCGUGGUGGCACGCACCUGUAGUCCCAGCUACUCAGGAGGCUGAGGCAGGGGAAUCACUUGAACCCAGGAGGUGGAGGUUGCAGUGACCCGGGACCAUGCCACUGCACUCCAACCUGGGCAACAGAGAAUUCAUCUCAAAAAAAAAAAAAAAAAAGAAGUUAAAUGAAUACUUUUGACCAUUGAUGGAAGUUGCUUUCAUUCCCUCUUACUUAAUCAUCUUAGCCCUGAAAGAGGGAUGCUUUAACCCCAUUUGUAACAAGUGAGUCUGAGGCUCAGGAAAGUGAUAGAAUUUAGCAAAGUCCACCUUGCUACCUGGUGGCCCCAGCUAGAACUCUGCCCCAGGUCCAUAUACCUAAAAUCAUUACAGCGUCCACUAAAAUUUUGCCCCUCUCUCGAUGCCUUCCUCUUUAGAAGCCUGUUCCUUCAGGGAUAGAUCCCAACUCAGUGUUACAAGGUACUGAACUCUGAUUUUCACAAAAUAUAAUAACUGCCCCCCAAAAUUAAUAAUAGUAUUUUUGAGCCGGGCACAGUGGUUCAUAUCUGUAAUCCCAGCACUUUGGGAGGCUGAGGUGGGUGGGUCAUGAGGUCAAGAGAUCGAGAGCAUCCUGGACAACAUGGUGAAACCCCGUCUCUACUAAAAAUACAAAAAUUAACUGGGAGUGGUAGCAGGCGCCUGUAAUCCCAGCUACUCGGAAGGCUGAGGCAGGAGAAUCACUUGAACCCAGGAGGCAGAGGUUGCAGUAAGCCGAGACUGCACCACUGCACUCCAGCCUGGCAACAGAGCAAGACUCCGUCUCAAAAAAAAAGUAGUAUGUUUGAGUCCUUAUGUGUCAACCACUGGGCUAUCCCAACACCAAUAGUUAUUAUGAUUAUGAUUAUUUUUUUCCAUUUUAUUGAUGAGGAAACCAACACAUAGAAAGGUAAAGAAACUUGCCAAAGGUGACGGUCACACGGCCAAAGAGCUGUAGAAGCAGCACAGGAAUCCCAGCAAACUCACAGCCGAGGUCUGUUUUCACCUUCACAUCAUAGAGUCCUCAGACUAAAACCCUAACUCUGACCUUCCAAAUCAAAAAUCAUACUCAAGGCCGGGCGCGGCGGCUCAUGCCUGUCAUCUCAGCACUUUGGGAGGCCGAGGCAGGUGGAUCACCUGAGGUCAGGAGUUCCAGACCAGCCAGGCCAACAUGGUGAAACCCUAUCUCUACUAAAAAUACAAAACUUAGCCAGGCGUGGUGGUGGGUGUCUGUAAUCCCAGCAUUUUGGGAGGCUGAUGCAUGAAAAUCACUUGAACCCAGGAGGCAGAAGUUGCAGCGAUCCAUGAUCAUGCCACUGCACUCCAGCCUGGACAAGAGAGUGAGACUCUGUCUCAAAAAAAAAAAAAAAAAUUGUGCUUAAUAAUAGCUUGGAAGUGCACAUAUCUUCUGUGAAGGUUGAUGGACUACAAUUAGCUUCAAAACACAAAUAAGUAACUGUGUUUAAAUGAGUCCUUCUCUGUAAUAUCUAGGGAAAAUCAAUGUGGCUAUUCAUAUUUUGUUUCCCCUUCCAGGCACAGAGAAGUUGCCCAUGACUCUGUGAUCCGUUUUGUCCAAUGAACCAUGAGCAGCAGCAACUUGAGUCACCUCCAGGUGGAAGUGUUAAGAGGCUCUAUGAUCCACCACAUUCCCUUUCCCCUGAAGUGGUGAUCAAGGACACAUGCAGAGAUGGGGCUUUUGUCAGCCUGGAUCCCUGAGUGAACACAAUGAACAGACCACCCCACAAUGCCCUAACACAGCCCAGACAUGCAACGUGACCAAGAAUAAGCCUCACUGUGGCCAGGCAUGGUGGCUCAUGCCUGUCAUCCCAGAACUUUGGGAGGCCAAGGCGGGUGGAUCAUUUGAGGUCAGGAGUUCAAGACCAACCUGGCUAACAUGGUGAAAUCCUGUCUCUACUAAGUACAAAAAUUAGCCAGACAGUGGUGGCAUGGGCCUGUAAUCCCAGCUACUCAGGAGGCAGGAGAAUCACUUGAGUCUGGGAGGCAGAGGUUGCAGUGAGCUGAGAUUGCACUACUGCACUCUAGUCUGGGUGACAGAGUGAGACCCUGUCUCAAAAACAAACAAAUACCUCACUGCAUGAGGCCACUGAGAUUUGGGGAUUGUUGUUACUGCACCAGAACCCAAAUCAUCCUGACCUCUAGGGUGUCCUAACUAGGGUUUCUUACCAAAAGCAAAGGCAUUUUUAAAGUUCGUGACAUUUAAACAAAAGAGCAAAUACCAAUAUCUACCACUUUGUCAGGCUAACAAACCCAAACAAAGCCAACAGCCAGAAGUUAAAAGAAACAGAUCAUUAGGUUGAAAAUAGAACUGUCAAAACAGGCACAACUGACUUCAUUUAGUGAUUGCAAAGAACAUCAGGCAAGACACAGGUAUGGUCAUCAUAACAUUUAUCACAUGCUUAAUUGCACAUGUUUGACUAAGAAAAACAAAAAGUAUUUAACCUCAUCUGUAGUUCAAAGUGCCUAUCUGUGUAUUUAUCUGUUCAUCCUGAUUUAUUUAUUGAGCAACUCUUUUGUGCCAGGCACUGUGCUGUGUUGCAGGAAGUCAGGGACCCCAAACGGAGGGACCAGCUGAAGCCAUGACAGAAGAACGUGGAUUAUGAAGAUUUUAUGGACAAUUAUUAGUUCCCCAAAUUAAUACUUUUGUAAUUUCUUAUGUCUGUCUUUACUGCAAUCUCUAAACAUAAAUUGUAAACAUUUCAUGGACACUUAUCACUUCCCCAAUCAAUACCCUUGUGAUUUCCUAUGCCUGUCAUUACUUUAAUCUCUCAAUCCUGUCAGUCGAGAAGGAUGUAUAUCGUCUCAGGACCUGUAAUAAUUGCGUUAAGUACACAAAUUGUACACCAUGUGUGUUUGAGCAAUAUGAAAUGUGGGCACCCUGAAAAAACAACAGGAUAACAGCAGUUGUUCAGAGAAUUAGAGAGAUAACCUUAAACUCUGACCGCCGGUGAGCCGGGCAGAACAGAACCAUAUUUCUCUUCUUUCAAAAGCAAAUGGGAGAAAUAUCGCUGAAUUCCUUUUCUCAGCAUGGAACGUCCCUGAGAAAGAGAAUGCGCACCUAGGGGUAGGUCUCUGAACUGGCCCCCCGGGGCGCACCUGUCUCUUAUGGUCGAGAUUGCAGAGGUGAAAUAAACUUCAGUCUCCCAUAGCACUCCCAGGCUUAUUAGGAAGAGAAAAUUCCCGCCUAAUAAACUUUGGUCAGACGGGUUGAUCUCAAAACCCUGUCUCCUGAUAAGAUGUUAUCAAUGACAAUGGUGCCAAAACUUCAUUAGCAAUUUUAAUUUCACUUCGGUCCUAUGAUCUCGCCCUGUCUCCACUUGCCUUGUGAUAUUCUAUUACCCUGUUAAGUACUUGAUGUCUGUCACCCACACCUAUUCAUAUGCUCCCUCCCCUUUUGAAACUCCCUAAUAAAAACUUGCUGGUUUUUGUGGCUUGUGGGGCAUCACGGAUCCUACCAAUGUGUGAUGUCUCCCCCAGACGCCCAGCUUUACAAUUUCUCUCUUUUGUACUCUGUCCUUUUAUUUCUCAAGCCAGUCGACGCUUAGGAAAAUAGAAAAGAACCUACAUGAUUAUCAGGGCAGGUCCCCUGAUAUCUGGCGCCCACGUGGUCUUUCUUGUUUCCUAAGUGCAUGAGGGAACCGGAUUCCCUUUGGUAGGUGCGGUGAAACGUCAAUCGGCUUGGCCCACAGAUAAGCGUGUUCAACUCCCCGACGAGUGGAGAUCAUCAAUCCCCUGUCUGGGUACCCACCAGAAGACUCAAGCUUCUUAUGAAUACUGACAAUCAAAACCACAGUGAAGAGACGUCUGUGUCAGAGACUGCCUUCAGAUGUGGUGAGAUCUGUGCCGACUCCUCAGAAACAGGCACACCAAAUCACAAUGGGUGUAAAUCAAUCCUCCCUGAUGACAGUGGAGACCCAUCUAACUAAUCACACUUCUCCUGAUUACCUUUCUUUUUCUCCUUACAAACCUAAAUAUCUCACCAUUUCUGUUAGCCUGAAAAUAACAUCCCUCUGUUCUUCUCUUUCUCCUUCAGCACUCCAUCUCGCUUACACUAGGUUUUAUUUAAUGAUUCUCCUCCUUAUACUUUCUGUCUCACCAGUUUCCUCUCACACUGAUGUACCUGCUACACAUAAUUAUUCUUCUUGGGCUUAGGUGCCUUUUCCUCCACUUAUUCGCCCUCUCACCUGGAUAGAUGCUCCCGCAGAAAUCUACACUAACGAUAGUGUGUGGAUGCCUGGAGCCAUAGACGACCCUUGCCCUGCUCAACCAGGAGAAGAAGGCUGGCCACCACAGUCCUGUCUUUUCUGCCAGAAGCAAGUCAAGUGUUGUUACAAGAACAAGUGUGAAAAACAUUUGCCUGAUUAAGAUUUCUAGCACCACGAAAGUUUGUUUCAAUCCAGCUACACUACUUCCUGACUCAGACUCCACUAUUCCUGCUCAUGACUGUCAAGAACUGUUAGAAACUAUCGAAACUGGCCGAUCUGAUCUUCAAGCUGUGCCCCUAGAAAAGGCAGAUGCCGCCGUGUCCACAGACAGUAGCAGCUUCCUCAAGCAGGAAAUAUGAAGAGCCAGUGCAGCUGUUACCACGGAGACACAUGUGUUGUAAGCUCAAGCAUUACCAGCGAACACCUCAGCCCAAAAGGCUGAAUUGAUCGCCCUCACUCAGGCUCUCCGAUAAAGUAAGAAUAAACGUAUUAACAUUUACACUGACAGCAAGUACGCCUUUGCUACUGUGCAUGUACAUAAAGCCAUCUACCAGGAAAGCAGGCUACUCACCUCAGCAGGUAGCUGUGAUCCACCGCAAAGGACAUCAAAAAGAAAACACGGCCGUGGCCCAUAGUAACCAGAAAGCUGAUUCAGCAGCUCAGGUGGCAGCGAGACUUUCAGUCGCGCCUCUAAACUUGCUGCCCGCAGUCUCCUUUCCACAGCCAGAUCUGCCUGACAAUCCCGUAUACUCAACAACAACAACGGGCUUCGGAUCUCAGAGCCAAUAAAAAUCAGGAAAGUUAGUAGAUUCUUCCUGACUCUAGAAUCUUCAUACCCUGAACUCUUAAAGAAACGUUAAUCAGUCACCUACAGUCUACCACCCAUUUAAGAAGAGCAGACCUACCUCAGCUCCUCCAGAGCCAUUUUAAGAUCCCCCAUCUUCAAAGCCUAACAGAUUAAGCAGCUCUCCAGUGCACAACCUGCGCCCAAGUAAAUGCCAAACAAAGUCCUAAACCCAGCCCAGGCCACUGUCUCUGAAAAAAGUCGCCAAGAAAAAAGUAAGAAAUUGACUUUACAGAAGUCAAACCACACCAGGCUAAGUACAAAUACCUUCUAGUACUAGUAGACACCUUCUCCAGAUAGACUAAGGCAUUUGCUACCGAAAACGAAACCACCAACACAGUAGUUAAGUUUUUACUCAAUGAAAUCAUCCCUCAAUAUAGGCUGCCUGCUGCCAUGAAGUCUGAUAAUAGAGCAGCCUUCACCUCGCCUAUAGCUGAGUCAGUCAGUAAGGCGUCAAACAUUCAAUAGAAGCUCCAUUGUGCCUAUCAACCCCAGAGCUCUAGGCAAGUAGAACGCAUGAACCACACCCUAAAAAACACUCCUACAAAAUUAAUCUUAAAAAAACAGUGUAAAUUAAGUAAGCCUCCUUCCUUUAACCCUACUUAAAGUAAGGUGCACCCCUUACCAGGCUAAUUUCUCACCUUUUGAAAUCAUGUAUAAUAAGGCACCGCCUAUCUUGCCUAAGCUAAGAGAUGCCAAAUUAGCAGAAAUAUUACAAACUAAUUGAUUACAGUACCUAUAGUCUCUCCAACAGGUACAAGAUAUUAUCCUGCCACUUGUUGCAGGAGCCCAUCCCAAUCCAAUUCCUGACCAAAGUCCUGCCACUUGUUCCAGCCAGGAGACCUAGUGUUUGUUAAAAAGUUCCAAAAAGAAAGACUCACUCCUCCUUAGAAAAGACCUCACACCGUCAUCCUCACGACGCCAGCUGCUCUGAAAGUAGACGGCAUUCCUGCUUACAUUCAUCACUCCCACAUCAAAAAGGCCAACAGAGCCCAGCUAAAAACAUCCUUCUUAGAAAUUCCUAAGGCUCAAUGCUGUGUGGAAGAUUCUGAGAAAGAAAAUAGUUUCCAAUCUUUGGGAUUCCCGAGAUGGUCCAAUCUGCAAAAAGUUCACUGCCAUUUCCAUCAAGGACACUGAGAACAAGAGUCUUAUCUGGAUUGGAUGAGAAGCUUCAGCAGGUGGGAAAUGCACCCUCCACAGGCUCACACCCUUGUGGGCUGUUUCAGUUACCCACUGCACCUAAAGUUAGAAACUUGAAACCACCACAAGCCAUUAUUGCUCAUGACCCUGUGAGUUGCAUGGGGACUUCCUGGCUGGUUUAACCUGGGCUCAUUUCUGUGGCUACCUGCAGCUGGAAGGCCAGCUGGGCGGAACAUCCAGGACGGCCUCAUGCAUGUGCCUAUCAGUUGGUGCUGGAUGUCAGCCGGGGAACCUUGUUUUCCUCCAUGUGGCCCCUCGCCCUCCAGAACCCCUCUCCAAAUGUCUCUUUAAGCAGGAUAGCCAAGGUUUGCUUGGUGCCAGCAUCCAAGAGGGCAAAAAUAUGGGAACUACAAGAGAGCUCUCAAGGCCUAAGACUAUUUGCACCCCAGAAAUCUGAGGUCUCAGUUAAUUCAGAAAGUUUGUUUUGCCAAGGUUGAGGACGCAUGCCUGUGACACAGCCUCGGGACGUCCUAACAACAUGUGCUUAAGGUGGUAGGGACACAGCUUGGUUUGAAACAUUUAAGAGAGACGUGAAACAUCAAUCAAUAUGUGUAAGAUAUACAUUGGUUCAGUCGGGAAAGGCAGGACAACUCCAGGUGAAGGUGAAGGUGAGACAAAGGGAAAGGGCUUCCAGCUCAUAGGUAGUUAAGAGACAAAUGGUUGCAUUCUUUUGAGUUCUUGAUUAGCCUCUCCAAAUGAGGCAAUCACAUAUACAUUUAUCUCAGUGAGCAAAGGGGUGACCGAAUAGAAUGGGAGGCAGGUUUCCCCUAAGCAGUUCCCAGCUUGACUUUUCUCUUUAGCUUAGUAACUUUCUUUUGGGUCGGGGGACAGAGUCUCGCUCUGUUGCCCAGGCUGGAGUGCAGUGGUACGAUCUCGGCUCACUGCAACCUCCAACUCCAGGGUUCAAACAAUUUCCCUGCCUCAGCCUCCCAAGUAGCUGGGAUUAUAGGCGCCUGCCACCACGCCUGGCUAAUUUUCAUAUUUUUUAGUAGAGACGGGGUUUUGUCAUGUUGGCCAGGCUGGUCUUGAACUCCUGACCUCAGGUGAUUUGCCCGCCUCAGCUUCCCAAAGUGCAGGGAUUACAGGCGUGAGCCACCGAGCCCAGCCUAGCUUAGUGAUCUUGGGGCCCCAAGGUUUAUUUUCCUUUCACGGCUAGAAGUUGUUCACCAUCACUUUGGCAGCAUUCCACUGGCCAAAGCAAGUCAUAGGCAGCCCAGAUUCAUGUAGAGGAGUAUAAACUCUACCUCUUAAAGGAAAGAUUGGUUCAAUUAUACUGCACGAGCAUUUGCAGAAAGUUGUACCCAUCUUUGGAAACUACAACACACACACACACACACACACACACACACACACACACACACACACACACACACACACACACACACACACACACACCUUUACAUGCAACCCUCCCUUGAGGUGCAUCUACUUCCAGGCAGAAACAAAACUUGACAGUACUUGACAGAAGAAAAGUAGUGUCCUAAAUGCCAGUUCUCUUCUUACUCAACUUCAGCCUCAUUAUAAGCAGAUUCUAACAGUUUAUGUGUCUUGAGAAACAUUUUAAUUAAUCUUUGGAAUUUAAGAAUUUCAAUUCAUAGCAGUAGCCUGCGCAUAGGAAAUACGCAUAUUGUAAGUUUUUCCUUUCUGAUAAAUCAUGCUGGGGGAACCACAAUGUAACUUUUUUUUUUUUUUUGAGGAGUCUCACUCUGUUGCCCAGGCUGGAGGGCAGUGGCAUGAUCUCAGCUCACUGAAACCUUCGCCUCCCUGGUUCAAGCAAUUCUCCUGCCUCAGCCUCCUGAGUAGCUGGGAUUACAGGUGCACAAGAUGGGGUUUCACCAUGUUGGUCAGGUUGGUCUCAAACUCCUGACCUCUGAUCUGCCCACCUCAGCCUCCCAAAGUGCAGGGAUUAUAGGCGUGAGCCACCGGCUCACGUAUACUGUGACAGUAUAUUGAAAGUUUCUCUUUUUUUCAAAUAAUUAACAGGUUUAACAGAAUGUAUCUCCUGAUCUGUUCCUUUCACUGCAGACAUCUAUUGCCUUUUCAGCCUAGCAGCCCUCCCCUCUAUAGAGACUCACACUUCCUACUGCAGUCAUGUGGCUCUCAUGGGGGCUGCCAUGUUCUCAAAUGACUCCACCCCUCUGGCCUCAGUUGAUUGGUCCAGGGAUGAGCAUCUGGCCUAGAUUGGCCAAUCAGAAUUCUUCCCUUGAAUAUUUUUCAAAACUGGAACUAGACCAAGUUAAUCAUUCUCUGUGAUGACAGGAAUUGUGUGUAGUGAGAAAUACAGGAGCUUUUGUGGCCACGUUUCUUGCCUUAUGGAGAAAAGGCUUGAGUAAGAAGAAAUUAAGCCAGUAUGCAGACAAAGCUAUAGACAGAGAUAGAGAGAGAGAUCUUGUGGUAAGCCCCUUGGUUUUUAUCAUUCUAGUACAUGCUUGCUACUGCAUACAACCAAGACUUUCACCUGAGGGCUUUCUCAAAGUCAGGCAUGGAGUAUGUCAGAAAAGCCACAGAAGCCGGGUGCUGUGGCUCACUCCUGUAAUCCCAACACUGGGAGGCCGAGGCAGGUGGAUCACGAGGUCUGGAGUUCGAGACCAGCCUGACCAACAUGGCAAAACCCUGUCUCUACAAAAAAUAAAAAAAAAUAGCAAGGCAUGGUGGCAGGCGCCUGUAAUCCCAGCUAGUCAGCAAUCCGAGGCAAGAGAAUCGUUUGAACCUGGGAGGCAGAUGUUGCAGUGAGCCGAGAUCAUGCCAUUGCAGUCCAGCCUGGGUGACAGAGCAAGACUAUGUCUCAAAAAAAAAAAAAAAAAGAAGAAAGCAAAGCCAGAGAGUUGAUGCCCUGGGACCAGUCCACAGCCAGUGACGGAUGGGAGCCAGGCUAUAAAUGUUUCAAUAUCUUCGCCCUCUGGAUGGAACAACUUUGAAAUGUAUUCCACAUCACUUCCCAGAGGUCCCCAGUGGGGUCAAAUCCUAGUUGCCUGGAGUGGUAAGCUGCUCAUUGAAGCCCCCUGUGUGGCCUCCUGCCUUUCCAUGAAUCAAUUCCUCACUCCCCUCUUGGUGAUCCCUGGAAUCAUCUCCUAAAUAAUCCACUUGCAAUCCUGUCCCUCUUUCAGGAUCUGCUUGGAGUUGGGGUUGGGGAAUGCAGAGAAAAACAUGAUCCCUUUUCCACUCCACACUAGUAAGACGAGUUUCUGUCACUGACAACCAAGAGUUCUGACUAUUACCUCCUUCUGAGAUAAUUCCUAAAAGGUAUUUGGGAAUUUCCUCACCUCCACCCCACUGCAUAUGUCAUCAAUAUGUAGAUUUCUUAACAAAGUUUAAUGGUAUUCUUUGAUCAACCUCAAGUUUCACAAAACACACUGCACUUUCAUAAGGGCUCCCCAUGACUGACAGAUCAGCCGUUCAAAAGAAGAGAAGUGUCAGAGAUGGGUCUCCUAGACUCGCGUAUUUUUCAGUAGAAUCUGGGUCAGGAUAUUGUUGUCGGGAGAUGCUUCUGGAGCUCUGGGACCCACAAGCCUGCGUGUCAUGGUGGAGUAUUAGGACAACUUGAAAACAUAGUGGCAGGAGGAGGCUUCCUCUCUCCCCUUCAGUUCAUCCUCCACCACACCCAAUGUGCUCAGCAGAUGUUGGUUAAAUGAAUAAUGGGGCCGGUCAUGGUGGCUCAUGCCUGUAAUCCCAGCACUUUGGGAGGCUGAGGCAGGUGGAUCACCUGAGGUCAGGAGUUCAAGACCAGCCUGGCCAUAGAGGCAGAAGAAGCACUUGAACCUGGGAGGCAGAGUUUACAGCACGCUGAGAUGGCACCACUGCACUCCAGCCUGGGUCACAGAGCAAGACUCAAAAAAAAAAAAAAAUGGAUUUAUUC